ensembl:lncRNA
ACAGAGUCGGACACGACUGAAGUGACUUAGCAGCAGCAGCAGCAGCACUAAAUCUAUAUAGAAAUUCAAGGAAAAUCAUUGCCUUCUGAUUUUUAAUCUUCUAGCCUGGUAUGGAUGGGCUUGCCACUAAUUUUGAUCUCGCUCUAUUUCUCCCAAAAAGGUCCUAUAACUUUCUUUGAAAAAAAUUGUAUGACUUGAAGUAAAUUAAUGUUCAAGUACUGAAUAUUUGAUAUUAAAUGAAGGGAACACCCUUUCCUGUGUGUUUCCUGUCUGUGUAGGCCUGAUACAUGGGCCAGAACAGGAGCUCUCGGCUCAGGGGAAGCUGUCAGUGCCUAGGAAACUGGGCACACAUGCUGGAGUGUGACAAGGGCCUGGACAGCUGCUGGCAGUGCGAGGAAGGCUCCCUGGGGCUGGGGAUGCGGGGAGAUCCUGUGGGAGUCCUGAAAGUGGGGAGCCUCCACAGGAGAGUGUGGCCACAGGGACGGGCACGGCCUGUCACGGAGGACCCACACAGGAGGCAGGAGUGGGGAGCAGGAGGGCUCUUUGAUCCAGGCCUCAGAUGCAGACUCUUCUUUAACUAAAAAAUUCUUUUUUCAAAGUUAUUUAUUAAUUUUUGGUUGUGCUGGGUCUUUGUUGCUGUGGACGGGUUUUCUCUAGCUGCAGCAAGCAGGGGCUACUCUGUGCUGCGGGGCCCAGGCUUCUCACUGCGGCGGCUUCUCUUGUUGUGGAGCACAGGUGCAAUGUAGUUAUGGCGCAUGGGCUUAGGAUCUUCCCAGACCAGGGACUGAACCUGUAUCCCCUGCACUGGUGAAUUCUUAACCACAGUACCACCAGAAAAGUCCAGCUGAAGGCUCCUAACGUUAGCUCGAAGUGAGAUUAUUUACAUUAUAAGUGGGUGUUUUUGAGACACCACUGGCUAAGGGAAGGACAUCCUCGGAAUCUCUGUUAGGUGGGCUGCCGUCUAUGGGGUCGCACAGGGUUGGACAUGACUGAAGAGACUUAGCAGCAGCAGCAGCAGAAUAGUCUUUGGUAUUUCAAAGCUUCCUUUGUGGGAGGCUGGAGUCUGAAACCUCUGUUGAGUANNNNNNNNNNNNNNNNNNNNNNNNNNNNNNNNNNNNNNNNNNNNNNNNNNNNNNNNNNNNNNNGACAGCCUGAUGAGGUAAUUAUCAUUAUACCCAUUUUGGGAUGAAGAAACUAAAGUUAUAAGAGGUUAAGGAUGAAGCCCAAAGGCACACAACUAGUAAGUUUCAAUCUGCCAUUAAACUUGGUAUUGCCUUCAAAGCCCACGUUCUUUCCAUUCACCAUUUUGCUUUUCCAGUGCAAGGUCUCAGUAAGUUACUCUGUCACCUGGAAAGGAGUGAAACAUGAGUAAAUCCCAAGACCCAGCCAGCUCAUUCAUUUCUCCAACAAAUGUUUGUCAAGCAUCAGUUAUGCACUCCACUUCUCCCAGGGUGAAAUCAUCCUCUCCAUGGUUUGAACCACCAACAUGCUGAAGUUCCUCACAUUUAUCCUUCCAACUCAGACUUCUUUUCUAAACUUUACACUUGAACAGCCAACUUCCUAUUGGUAAACCCAGCAGGAUGUC